AAAUAUGACAUAUUAGCAUUUUUACAGAAGUCAAAAUGUCAAUUUUCAGUCAACUCGUUUAGAAGUGCAUAUUCAAGAGGCUCAAAAGUCAAGUCGGCUGAUCGUUAUAUAUAGGAGCUUUAUCAGCCUAUUCCGACCAUAAUUGACAUGGACGCUAGAAUGUAUCCUGAAGAUAUUUAAACCAAGUAGAAACGAGAUUCAAUUACCUUCCUCGUUCCCGUAUUCUUUCAAAAGAUCGUCAUCUUUAGAAUUUUUUUGAUCCAGCGCAUUUUCCUGAAAUAUAGGCUUGGCUCUCACAUCGUAAAUUAUGAUAUCUGCAAGAGGAAUAUUCUGUACAUCAAUAUCGGAAUCUGCUACAUUUAUGUUAACCAAGCCAUCCGAGAGAUUUAAAACACCAGGCGGUAAAGAGUUUUGGGCAACAUGUUCGUUGAAAGCUGCAAAGUCAAAGCUUUCACUUAUCACUUUCUCAUUAUUCGACAUGUCCUCGUACGCUAACGUAUUUUCUCUAUUGUCAGAGUCCGAAUCAAGAACUUCAUCUUCUUGAACUUCCUCAAUCAAAUCAGUAUCACAAAUCCCAAUCAUUUCGGGCGUUGACGGGUGUAUCAAUUCCUCAAAUUUCAACUCAUUUACCCCCAGUGAGGACGUGGGGCUGUUUUCGUUGUGCAAUAUUCUAAGAUCAACCAAGUCAUGUAUGGUGUUGUUUUCCUUGUAAGAAUUCAGUAUGCGCUCCCUUAAUUGCGCAAACCUUUUUUCCAAGCUUUCAUAUUCCAAAAUAUCAGCAUUACAUGAAUCACACAAUAACUAAAAAACAGAUUGAAUAAACUUUUAAAACUUUACAAUACAUA